rnacentral:rRNA from 1 species
CUUANAGGGACNANUGGCUUUUAGCCGCACGAAAUAGAGCAAUAACAGGUCUGUGAUGCCYUUAGAUGUCCGNNNCGCACGCGGGCURCACUGAAGGAAUCAGCUGGUGACAUCNCUAUGCCGUAAGGACUGGGUAAUCCGCUGAAACUCCUUCAUGAUAGGGACUGGGGCUUUGAAAUUCUUGCCCACAAACGAGGAAUUCCCAGUAAGUGCGAG